UCCUGCCCUAUGAUUAGUUAAAUGGCUGCAGUAUACUGACUGUGCAAAGGUAGCAUAAUAAUUAGUCUUUUAAUUGGGGACUAGUAUGAAUGGAUUAAUGAGAGAUUUAUUUUAUUUUUUAUAAUUUUAGAAUUUUAUUUUUAAGUAAAAAAGCUUAAUUUUUUUUUUGGGACGAUAAGACCCUAUAGAACUUUAUUUCUUUCUAUUAUUUAAUUUAAUGUUGAUUAUUAUAUAAAUUAUUAAAUAUGAUGAUAUUUUGUUGGGGUGACAAAUAAAUUUUACUUUAUUUUUUAAAUUCAUUUUUUUAAUGUAUUGUUGAUCCAAAUUUUUGAUUUUAAGAUUAAGUUACCUUAGGGAUAACAGCGUAAUUUUAAUGGGGAGUUCUAAUUUAUAUUGAAGUUUGCGACCUCGAUGUUGAAUUAAGAUAAGAUUGAGGGGUAG
rnacentral:rRNA from 1 species